GACGAACGCUGGCGGCGUGCUUAACACAUGCAAGUCGAACGGAAAGGCCCUUCGGGGUACUCGAGUGGCGAACGGGUGAGUAACACGUGGGUGAUCUGCCCUGCACUUUGGGAUAAGCCUGGGAAACUGGGUCUAAUACCGAAUAGGACCACGCGCUUCAUGGUGUGUGGUGGAAAGCUUUUGCGGUGUGGGAUGGGCCCGCGGCCUAUCAGCUUGUUGGUGGGGUAAUGGCCUACCAAGGCGACGACGGGUAGCCGGCCUGAGAGGGUGACCGGCCACACUGGGACUGAGAUACGGCCCAGACUCCUACGGGAGGCAGCAGUGGGGAAUAUUGCACAAUGGGCGCAAGCCUGAUGCAGCGACGCCGCGUGAGGGAUGACGGCCUUCGGGUUGUAAACCUCUUUCAAUAGGGACGAAGCGCAAGUGACGGUACCUAUAGAAGAAGCACCGGCCAACUACGUGCCAGCAGCCGCGGUAAUACGUAGGGUGCGAGCGUUGUCCGGAAUUACUGGGCGUAAAGAGCUCGUAGUGGUUUGUCGCGUUGUUCGUGAAAACUCACAGCUUAACUGUGGGCGUGCGGGCGAUACGGGCAGACUAGAGUACUGCAGGGGAGACUGGAAUUCCUGGUGUAGCGGUGGAAUGCGCAGAUAUCAGGAGGAACACCGGUGGCGAAGGCGGGUCUCUGGGCAGUAACUGACGCUGAGGAGCGAAAGCGUGGGGAGCGAACAGGAUUAGAUACCCUGGUAGUCCACGCCGUAAACGGUGGGUACUAGGUGUGGGUUCCUUCCUUGGGAUCCGUGCCGUAGCUAACGCAUUAAGUACCCCGCCUGGGGAGUACGGCCGCAAGGCUAAAACUCAAAGGAAUUGACGGGGGCCCGCACAAGCGGCGGAGCAUGUGGAUUAAUUCGAUGCAACGCGAAGAACCUUACCUGGGUUUGACAUGCACAGGACGCCGGCAGAGAUGUCGGUUCCCUUGUGGCCUGUGUGCAGGUGGUGCAUGGCUGUCGUCAGCUCGUGUCGUGAGAUGUUGGGUUAAGUCCCGCAACGAGCGCAACCCUUGUCCUAUGUUGCCAGCGGGUUAUGCCGGGGACUCGUAGGAGACUGCCGGGGUCAACUCGGAGGAAGGUGGGGAUGACGUCAAGUCAUCAUGCCCCUUAUGUCCAGGGCUUCACACAUGCUACAAUGGCCGGUACAAAGGGCUGCGAUGCCGUGAGGUGGAGCGAAUCCUUUCAAAGCCGGUCUCAGUUCGGAUCGGGGUCUGCAACUCGACCCCGUGAAGUCGGAGUCGCUAGUAAUCGCAGAUCAGCAACGCUGCGGUGAAUACGUUCCCGGGCCU
rnacentral:rRNA from 1 species